GACACACCCCGUCCCGAAGGAGGGCGUGCUGGCCGUCACGUGAGAGUGACGUAACCAUUUACACAGUUCGGAAGCUUUAAAAAACUUUCCAAUUACUAAGAUAACACACCCGAGGGUGAGUCCUACUUUUGUGAAUUCUGUCAGAACACCGUUGGAUUCCUCGUGGCCACCAAAGCUCUGCUAACUUGAACCUGGAGGGGCGCAAAACAAAAUUGAGUGGGUCAGUAAAACAAAGUUUUUCGAAAACUUUUCAUUUAAAACAUUUCUAACCCCUCACCGUAAAACCUGUAUACUUUCCUAGAAAAUAGCAUAUAUAUAAACAUAUAUAUAAGCAAAAAUCUCAAAUCUCAAACCUUUAACACUUUUCAAAUAUAUAUAUAUAUAUAUAUAUAUAUAUAUAUAAAACCAUAUGAAAUCUCAAAGCUUGAAUCCCAAAUCUUUAACAUUUUUCAAGAAAAACAUGCCAUGCCAUAAAUCAAAAAUAUAAAUCAGGUGAAAUAAGGAAUCAAUCGGAGACCCUGCAGUUGGUCCUAUACGAUUAAUUCAAUAGCUCAAUAUCUCACUAAGCCGGAGUCACCACAGUGACCUAUACGGCCCUACUCUGCACAUCACUCGGAACUACGUAAGGUAGUCUAUACGAUGAAAGGUGUAAAAUACGCUCUAGUGCUUCUCUCAUCAUAUCAUCAGCGCGCAUAUCUAAGGUCACCCACCAGUCGGAACCCCUCUAAUGGUCUGUACGACUGGCAUGUCGGAACCCUCACAUGGUCUGUACGACAUCCACCUACUUGGAUCCAAGGCGAGCGUGCGGUGUGGUGAAUAAUAUAAGCACUAACACCUAGGGUGCAGGUUAUGAGCUCAAAACAUCUCAACAACAACAAUUCAAUGAAUAAAUGAACUCACCUGACUUACCUGUGCCUCCACAGCACCAUGUAACAUGUAUGCAUCAUAUAUCAAUCAUGUAAUUCAUAUAACAAUUCACAUUUUCAAAUAAUUCUAUGCAUGGCAUUUUUAAAGCAUAUCUUCAUAUAAAUUCAUUUUCUGGGAAAAAUCAAUAGUAUAAAGGUAAUACAAAAACAAAACUGCCCACUCACCUGGAGUUCGCCCAACAACUCCCUAGCACCACACAUCAAGGCAUCAUGAAGAUUAGCGCCUAGAACAAUAAUCAAACCCAACCUCAGAAAUCAUGCCGAUAGAAUACAUAACUUAUAUAAGACACGUCACUACGUAAUUCGAUCCGGAUGAUCUGCAACUCAGAUUUCAAAUCCGUAACUUCCAGAGGUCCACAAUAUACCUCUAGGACAACAUCUUAAAAUUUCAUUACCAUCCAACGGUCGGAUCUCCGUCAAUUUCCAAAACUAAGUGACGGUUAACAUUCUAUUUUAUGAACUUACAACUUCAAUUCCGGAAGAUCCGUAAAUCGGAUUCUCAAUCCGUAAGUUCCUAUAAUCCUCAAAUAUUACGUAUUACAACGUAUCAAAGUUUGGUGACGGUCCAACGGUCGGAUCGUCAAUUCACAUUUUCACCUAACCACGAAUCGUAACCAACUUAGGUUCAAUUAUUCAAUUUACGUCCAUCAAUUAUCAAAACAGAACCUAGAACCUUAAUCACAAGCUAAUAAUGACAUUGGCGGGCCAUUGGCCACGCACCGCCGCGCGGGCCGCCGCGGGUGGCGGUUGGCCGCCCCGGCUCGCCGGAAAAUUCAACUAUUUCCAAAAAUUACUAAAAUUUGCAGAUUUGAAGAUCUCAAUGAGUAGAACAACUUUCAUACCUGAGGCCAAGGCCAAUUUGGCCUGGAAGUGCUUCAAUUUCACCAAAACCGUGAAGAACCCUAGAAUUGGGUGUUUCCAAUUCGACCUUCAAACUUGUUCCAACGCCUCAAUUACCUCUUGGGCUUUGUUUUAGGUCCUAAGGGAAUGCUAAUGGUGUUAGUAAUUGAAAGAAAACAUUUCAAAAUUUGGAGAAUUUAAACAAAAGGGUCGCGGCACCCGUAGGGGUGUUCUUCGCGAAAUCACAACGAAAUUCAAUGAUUCUUGGGGUGAAACGUGAAGAGGGAAGGCCUAGAUGAUGAUUAGGAGUGGUACCUUGAUUCAAUUCGUCGGAAAAUUGGACGAAAAUGGCGAAAACCCGCCGAUUGGAAGUCGCGGGUCGCGCGGGUAUACGGGUUGGGGAAAACCCAUUUCUUCCUUCUCUCCUCCGCUUCUCGCCCUCUCUCCUUUCCUCCUUUCCUUCCUCUAGUUGGUCAGCUUCUCCCUCUCUCUUCUCCCCAUUCGGUCUC
rnacentral:lncRNA from 1 species